GCCAGGUGUGGUGGUGCGUACCUGUAGUCCCAGCUACUCGGGAGGCUGAGGCAGGAGAAUCGCUUGAACCCAGGAGGCAGAGGCUGCAGUGAGCCGAGAUCGCACCAUUGUACUCCAGCCUGGGCGACAGAGUGAGACUCCGUCUCAAAAAAAAAAAAAUAUUAUUUAUUUAUUUAUUUAUUUAUUGAGACGGAGUCUCACUCUGUCGCACAGGCUGGAGUAUAAUGGUGCGAUCUCGGCUCACUGCAGCCUCUGCCUCCUGGGUUAAAGCGAUUCCCCUGCUGCAG
rnacentral:SRP_RNA from 1 species